rnacentral:rRNA from 1 species
CGACGCUGGCGGCGUGCUAACACAUGCAAGUCGAGCGAUGAAGCUUCUUCGGAAGUGGAUUAGCGGCGGACGGGUGAGUAACACGUGGGUAACCUGCCUCAUAGAGGGGAAUAGCCUUCCGAAAGGAAGAUUAAUACCGCAUAAGAUUGUAAUAUCGCAUGAUAUAGCAAUUAAAGGAGUAAUCCGCUAUGAGAUGGACCCGCGUCGCAUUAGCUAGUUGGUGAGGUAACGGCUCACCAAGGCGACGAUGCGUAGCCGACCUGAGAGGGUGAUCGGCCACAUUGGGACUGAGACACGGCCCAGACUCCUACGGGAGGCAGCAGUGGGGAAUAUUGCACAAUGGGGGAAACCCUGAUGCAAGCAACGCCGCGUGAGUGAUGACGGUCUUCGGAUUGUAAAGCUCUGUCUUCAGGGACGAUAAUGACGGUACCUGAGGAGGAAGCCACGGCUAACUACGUGCCAGCCGCGGC